rnacentral:Y_RNA from 1 species
GGUUGGUCUGAGUGCAGUGGUGUUUACAACUAAUUGAUCACAACCAGUUACAGAUUCCUUUGUUCCUUCUCCACUCCCACUGCUUCACUUGACCAGCCUUUA